GUGAGCGGUUUCUGGUGAGACUGAACAAGAAUGGUGGGCCAAGGAACCCAGAGAAGAUAGAUCGAAUGUGUGCCCUUUUUACAGAUCUGAGCAGCAAAGAUAUGAAGAGAGAUUUGUAUAUAGUUGCCCAUGUGAUCCGAAUAGGCCGGAUGCUCCUGAAUGACUCAAAGAAGGGCCCUGCUCACCUGCACUACAGGCGACCAUAUGGCUGUGCAGUCCUAAGCAUCUUGGAUGUCCUACAGUCACUCACAGAAUUAAAGGAAGAGAAGGAUUUUGUUC